AGCCUACGGGCGGCUGCAGUUGGGAAUAUUGGACAAUGGAGGGAACUCUGAUCCAGUGACGCCGCGUGAAGGAAGAAGGUCUUCGGAUUGUAAACUUAUUUUAUCAGGGAAGAAAAAAAUGACAGUACCUGAAGAAGAAGCACCGGCAAACUACGUGCCAGCAGCCGCGGUAAUACGUAGGGUGCAAGCGUUAUCCGGAUUUACUGGGUGUAAAGGGCGAGUAGACGGCCAAACAAGUCAGAUGUGAAAACUUAGGGCUCAACCUUAAGACUGCAUCUGAAACUGUAGGGCUAGAGUGCAGGAGAGGAAAGUGGAAUUUCUAGUGUAGCGGUGAAAUGCGUAGAUAUUAGGAGGAACACCAGUGGCGAAGGCGACUUUCUGGACUGUAACUGACGUUGAGGCGCGAAAGUGUGGGGAGCAAACAGGAUUAGAUACCCUAGUAGUC
rnacentral:rRNA from 2 species